rnacentral:lncRNA from 1 species
GGUAAUGGAGCAGAGACUGGAGCAGAGACAAGUUGUUCCCACUGAGCUCUCCUCAGAUUACAGAUUGGUCUGAUUAUAAAAGGAGAAUUGGAGGCUUACCAAACAUCUGAAGAGCUUUCCAGAAGUUUGGUCACUUCUGAAUUAGAGAAGUUAAAACCCAAUCACCUACUAAUGCUGUGGGAAAGUUCUGCAGGUGAUACAUCACAGGGGCUCAUGAAUGUGUCUUAAGCUGGGUCAUUGAAGUGGAAUGUUUUCACAAGACCUCCUCCACUUGCUACUGUGUCCGGAAUUGGUGGGUUCUUGGUCUCACUGACUUCAAGAAUGAAGCCGCGGACCCUCGCGGGAGUGGCAAAUCAAAGGCAUUGCAGCCUCUUUCAUCACUGCCGAUUGCUGAUGCCAACCAUGUGCCAAGUGCUUAAUACGUCACCUUAAAUCUUCUCAUCCACCCUCAGAGACAUUCUUAUUCAAAAGAAAGAACACCGAAAUUGACCUUACCCUGACAAUAUGAUGGCUGAAGGAUUUAUGAUCACUUAUAACAUUUGAAAUUGAGGCGGAACCUGAAGAAUAAGACUCUGGUGAAAGGUCCUAUUUAUGCUUUUGAUGUCUUUCACUUGGACAUUUACCACAUGCCUAUUGGUAGGUUUGUUACAUAGGUCAGUUAAGGUGAUACAAGAAUAAAUAAAACACUAUCCCUAUCCUUUAAUAUCAUUUAUUUAUGGGGUCAAUCACAGAUUUUCAUUUUUCAAAAUCUUUGAUAAAUGUCAGAAUUAUGUUUUUUAAUAUUUUUACAGAAUUAUUACAAUAUAUGGUAGAGGAUGGAAGGCAAGGUAGUAUGAAACGGAAAAGAUAUUUUGAAUUAAGGUAUUUGGACCUGGAUUAAUAUUUUUGCUUUGGUCUUUAUUAGCUGAGUGACCUUGAGAAAGUUCUUCUACUAAAAAAGAACAAAGAUAAUAAUUACUUCAUGAAAUUGCUGUAAAAAACACAUAACAAGUAUAUCCAGACUCAACAGUGUAUGCUCAAAAAUGCAGAUCCUUUUUCCCUUACCUGCAAAUAAAGUCUUACAGUAAUACAGUGGGGGUAAAGGUUUAAACUGGUGGAUUCAAGAAGGGCUAUAGAAAGAGGUAGCAUCUUAAUAGGGGAAGGAGAGGAUCCAAGAAAUCAGAUCCAUUUUCUACAAAAAGAAAUGGGAAGACAGAUAAUUCAAGAAGAAAAGUUUACAUGAUUAAAGACCCGAAGUUAGAAAUAGUGAUGUGUCUCAAUAGUAAGUUAGGAAUUGGGGUGGACACAAUUGUUGGAAGAAGGAUGGUUUCAGCAAAGGCCCAAGUUAGGUGACAAUUUCAAGUGUUUGUGAAGAUAUAUGAACAAAAUUAUAAAGUAGUUAGGGUAUAAGAAAUAGGGAGGAGGGAAUGAAUUAACAUUUAUGGAGUGUCUUGCAUGUUCCAAGCACUGUACUACUUGCCUUAUAAACCUUUCUUCAAUAAACGCCUACAACAAUCC